rnacentral:tRNA from 1 species
GGGGAUGAAGUUCAUAUAGUCAUAUGGUAGAGCGCUCGCUUCGCAUGCGAGAGGCACGGGGUUCGAUUCCCCGCAUCUCCA